rnacentral:snRNA from 1 species
AUUCAAAAUGAUGUAAAUACAUCACUUAGUCUCGUUCGUCUUAAUAGGCUUCUCAAUUUAUUUGUGAGGCUUGUUGUGAUGAUAAUAUGUAUUAUCUGACUUGAUGUCAUUUCCACGGGAUUAAGCCACUUUUAUGUAUAAUUUCUAUACAUUAACUGUCAAGUUGGUUCUGCAC